rnacentral:rRNA from 1 species
GAUGAACGCUGGCGGCGUGCCUAAUACAUGCAAGUCGAGCGAACGGACGAGAAGCUUGCUUCUCUGAUGUCAGCGGCGGACGGGUGAGUAACACGUGGAUAACCUACCUAUAAGACUGGGAUAACUUCGGGAAACCGUAGCUAAUACCGGAUAAUAUUUUGAACCGCAUGGUUCAAAAGUGAAAGACGGUCUUGCUGUCACUUAUAGAUGGAUCCGCGCUGCAUUAGCUAGUUGGUAAGGUAACGGCUUACCAAGGCAACGAUGCAUAGCCGACCUGAGAGGGUGAUCGGCCACACUGGAACUGAGACACGGUCCAGACUCCUACGGGAGGCAGCAGUAGGGAAUCUUCCGCAAUGGGCGAAAGCCUGACGGAGCAACGCCGCGUGAGUGAUGAAGGUCUUCGGAUCGUAAAACUCUGUUAUUAGGGAAGAACAUAUGUGUAAGUAACUGUGCACAUCUUGACGGUACCUAAUCAGAAAGCCACGGCUAACUACGUG